rnacentral:rRNA from 1 species
AGCGAACGCUGGCGGCAGGCCUAACACAUGCAAGUCGAACGAAGUCUUCGGACUUAGUGGCGGACGGGUGAGUAACACGUGGGAACGUGCCUUUAGGUUCGGAAUAACUCAGGGAAACUUGUGCUAAUACCGAAUGUGCCCUUCGGGGGAAAGAUUUAUCGCCUUUAGAGCGGCCCGCGUCUGAUUAGCUAGUUGGUGAGGUAAAGGAUCACCAAGGCGACGAUCAGUAGCUGGUCUGAGAGGAUGAUCAGCCACAUUGGGACUGAGACACGGCCCAAACUCCUACGGGAGGCAGCAGUGGGGAAUCUUGCGCAAUGGGAGAAAGCCUGACGCAGCCAUGCCGCGUGAAUGAUGAAGGUCUUAGGAUUGUAAAAUUCUUUCCCCGGGGACGAUAAUGACGGUACCCGGAGAAGAAGCCCCGGCUAACUUCGUGCCAGCCGCCGCGGUAAAAC